ACACACAUGUUCACCAUCCCUACCCCUGGCAUUAAAUUUUCAAACUGCAGGCUACGGGGCCGUUCCUAAUUACCUCCUAUCCCCUAGUGGUCUAUGAAUAAUGACUACUGAAGGAGCUCAAAGAGGUUGCUAAGAAGAGAGAGAGGGGGGAAAACAAAAAAAUAAAAACAACAAAAAAGAAUUGUGCUAUAUACCUAUUUUUCUCCCCACGUUUUUCCCCCCCCUCCUAAAGGAUCUAAAUCUGUGACCACUCUGCUCUGGGAGGACGGCAAGGGAAAAGAGCGAGGGAGCGCCAAAGAGGAGACGGAAGAGGAGAAGAGGAGAGCUUGCAGGUAGGGCGAAAGGAGAUCUUUCUUUGGGGUGCUUUGAUGUCUCUUUGGUGGGGGGCUGUGCGCUGGUCGCUCAUUCAUCAGCUCCCUUCGCCUUCUUUCCCACCCAGCCCCUGUCCCCUGCCCUCCCUCUCCCCUUGGUUUUAUGUUUCUUGCUUACGCCAUUUGUGCUUUGGGGAGAUGGGGGGGGGGGAGCGCUUCAGAGACAGCCGCGUUGGUCUUUCGGCUUUGGCAGAGUUGGUGAGUGUACAUUGUCUCCCCUCCAAGUGGAUUGUUUGAAAAGGGCUUCUGGAUUUUCCUUGCAGAAUUCCGAGCAAGCUGCAUUCCUUCCUUCCUUCUUUCCUUUCGUGUGUUCGUUUGUUCUUUCUAAAUCUGGUUGGACGCACAAGUGCAGGCGUGAAAAAGAAGUUUGGUUUUGGGGAGGGAUGUUUCUUUUCUUAUGCGGGGUGGGGGUGAUGUUUGGUGUCUCUGGAGAGUGGCUUAAAAAAAAAAGGAAGUUCAAAGAAUGCUAAAUUGGUGGAGAGGCUGAGAUUGAAGGUUAUUUUGGAUGAUGCCUUCGUAAGGUCUCAGUAAAGUUGUCGGAUGGAGACCCAGCAUCCCAUUAUCUCUCACCAGUGUUUCCAUGCGUGGCUUUGAUCGAUGUGUUUCCCCAUUGGUUCCUUUUCCCAGAGAAUCAGUCUCUCCUCUGAGCUAGGAAGACCAUAAAUUGUAGCUAGCAUUUGUACUGUACAGCUGUGAUGGUUCAUUUGGAAAUCCCCCUAGGGCGGGGGGGGGGGGCAUGCUGGGAGAGAGAGAGAGAGAGAGAGAGAGAGAGAGAGAGAGAGAGAGAUUUUCUCGAGGUCUCCCUGGGGUUCUCUUUUUCCCAUGACAAAUGUCUUGCCCCCUCCCGACACAAACCGCCCACUGACACGAUUAUUAUUUUUUAAUAAAUAAAUGGGCUCUCCAGAGCCUCAAGGAAGCGUCGCCAGCCUACAAAAGAGCCUCCGUGAUCUUCCUUCCUUUUUUCUUUUUCUGCUGCUGUUGCUGUUGCAGAAAAGGAAAAGGAAGAAACUGGAAAUGUAUGCAGGGUGUUGAAGUAUUGUUGCAGGAGGAGAGCUGGGAAUCGGCUAGAGCCAAACUGCCAGCCAGCCAGCCAGCCUAUGACAUAGCAGCAGGAUGCCGUCCACCCUCUGCCAUUGAAGAGCUACUCAGAGCAGGCAAUUGUGUGCGUUUGGCGCAGGUGUGGUGGCCGAGAUCCACAAAAAGCCUCCACUCCAGAGCAACCCUAUUAAAACCAACAAAGCGAGGCGACCCGGAUGGGAGCAGAUAGGUUUGUUGCACCUGUGUCACUGUGUGCGGAUGGGUGCAUCAGUGCGCUUGGAAUUCACCGUGCAAAUAUUGAACCUUUUUAAAAAAACAAAACAAAGCACAAAUGUAAAUCCCAUCUAUGGAAAGGCGCAGAAAACGCACCGUUCAGGGAGGCAGCACGGCUAAGGUGCGGGACGAAACUUUGUGGCAUGCACAAAUCGUCACAAUGGUGGGUUUGUGACAAAGGAGGCAGGUGGGCAGGUUUCAAAAUGAGGAGAGGAAGGCAAAGCUGCAGUGUUUGGCGUAGUGGACAGACUGCUGUUUGUAGGCCAGCUGUGUGCAGUUAGGUGGGGGAAAGAGGCUCUUUGCUCCAGGUUUAGCCCAGCAGCAGCCUCUUUUUAAUAGCAGUCAGACAGAUGCCUCCAGGAAGCCCACAAGGCAGGCAUCGCACAAGUGGCCUUUCUUGGUUGUUUUGACCUCAGCCCCUGGGGUUCAGAGAUAGACUGCCUCUGAACAUGGCAGUUCUAUCUCUUGCUAUCAAGGUUAAUAGCUGCCUCCUGCUAUUGUGUUUCAGAUUGCAUGUGGUUAUUCUUCAGGGAGCAUAUAAUUUCUGAGUGCUGCAAGGCAUGGAAAAAGUAAAGUCCACAAACGCUCUGAAAGCACACUGUUUGUUUUCGGUUUGUUUGAGGGGUGGGUUUGUUUUCGUCUUUUGCAAUUUAAUCGUGGAUAUACUGGCCUUUGGACCUUAAAUUGAACCUACCCUUUUCUCAUACACUUAAAUCCAAAACAGCCUCUGACUUUAGACCUAGGGCCGAAAAGAUGCAAAUCUCUUGCUAAAUCCCUGCCAAGCCACAAAACAGGAUGUCACAGUUUUAAUAUUACGCAGUUAGAUAGGUUUAAAAAUCUUGCUGAUAUCUCUUACUUCAGGGAGCUCAUGGGUAAUGUACGUGCAUACUGGGUCAGUCCAUGUUCAGCUUCACAACGACCCUGUCAGGUAGGUUAGGCUGAAAGAGCAAGAAACAGACAGGCCCAAGGCUACCCAAUGGAGUUUCAUGGAGUGAGGAUCUGAACCCAAGGAGCGCAGUUCAGUUUGCUAUGGCUGCUACAAUGGCUUUGGCAAAAAAGAAAACCUUUUUGUAGCCCUACCUGGAGCAGCUAGAGGAUCGAACCUGUGACCUUCUGCAUGCAAGAAACAUGCUCCACCACUGAGCUACAGCCCUUCCCUGACGUAUUGUAACUGCAUAUGUUGAUGGUGUUCGUCGUCCAUAGCUCUGGGAGGCUGUUGAGCAUCACAGGCUCCAGAUUCCACCCUUGUAGCAUAAGCCCCAGUUCCAUAUUGUUUGCCCUAAACUGGAAUCAUCAAAUGCACCUCCCAUGUUACUGUUUCCUCAAACUGCCCUGAACGUGGGGUCCAUUUGACCCCCAAUACCUGAUGAGCAAAAACCUACUCAGGGAGGGUUCCCCGCCAACCCGCUCUCCCUGUUUAUUUAUUUUAAUGACGUUGUUUGUUGUUGUUUCGUAGGGAGUAGAAGUCCAGAACGGCAGGGGAGGCGGGGAGAGGACUGUGGGGGCGGAGAGUCGAUUUAAAUUGGGCUUAAUGGAUUCCCAAGGCAGCUUUUCGAGAUGAAAGUCAAAAUAAGACUGAAUCUCAGCAGACCCGUCUCUUGCAUUAAAGAUACUGCUCUCCUCAUCUUAGCUCCUCUUCCCUCCCCCUUCCUCCUUUUCUUCUUUUUAAAGGGGGAAGAGGGAGGGGGGAGAUUUCUGUGUUAUGUGCACAGACGACAGAGUGGAGUUUUCUAGUCUUAUAAUGAGGACCCUAAUUGAAGAGCGUAACCCUCGUGGGAUCUGCAUUCACUGACGGCUGUGUCUCUCACUCCUACUGGACUGUGGCUUUCUGUCUGGGGCGGAGCAGGCCGGUGGUCAGUGUGCAAGACUCAAAAGGUACGGGGGUUUAAACAGUGCUAUCUCUAUUAUUGUUAUUUAACGUACUUCUAUCCCGGCUCUCUCCCAAAUUGGGAUUUUAAGGCAGCUGGUUUAAAAUUUAAAAAUGCAAUCUAACGAAAACAAGCUAGUGAACAAACCAUAAUUCAAAGGCACCAGAGCACAUUUGAAACCCAGUUUGCCCUGACAGGGGGACAGCGACUCUGCACCUUAGUUUCCAAAGGCAUCUCUGAACGGGAGAGUCCUAGCUAGCUGGCGGAAGGAUCGCGGAGAGGGAACCGGUCUAGCCUCUCUUGGGAGGGAAUCCCACCAUCUGGGGGUAG